rnacentral:rRNA from 1 species
CGGUGAAGCCCAGCUUGCUGGGUGGAUCAGUGGCGAACGGGUGAGUAACACGUGAGCAACGUGCCCCAGACUCUGGGAUAACAGUUGGAAACAGCUGCUAAUACCGGAUACGAGACGUGAUCGCAUGGUCAACGUCUGGAAAGAUUUUUCGGUUUGGGAUCGGCUCGCGGCCUAUCAGCUUGUUGGUGAGGUAAUGGCUCACCAAGGCGUCGACGGGUAGCCGGCCUGAGAGGGUGACCGGCCACACUGGGACUGAGACACGGCCCAGACUCCUACGGGAGGCAGCAGUGGGGAAUAUUGCACAAUGGGCGAAAGCCUGAUGCAGCAACGCCGCGUGAGGGAUGACGGCCUUCGGGUUGUAAACCUCUUUUAGCAGGGAAGAAGCGAAAGUGACGGUACCUGCAGAAAAAGCGCCGGCUAACUACGUGCCAGCAGCCGCGGUAAUACGUAGGGCGCAAGCGUUAUCCGGAAUUAUUGGGCGUAAAGAGCUCGUAGGCGGUUUGUCGCGUCUGCUGUGAAAUCCCGAGGCUCAACCUCGGGCCUGCAGUGGGUACGGGCAGACUAGAGUGCGGUAGGGGAGAUUGGAACUCCUGGUGUAGCGGUGGAAUGCGCAGAUAUCAGGAAGAACACCGAUGGCGAAGGCAGAUCUCUGGGCCGUAACUGACGCUGAGGAGCGAAAGGGUGGGGAGCAAACAGGCUUAGAUACCCUGGUAGUCCACCCCGUAAACGUUGGGAACUAGUUGUGGGGACCAUUCCACGGUUUCCGUGACGCAGCUAACGCAUUAAGUUCCCCGCCUGGGGAGUAC